UGGGGAAUUUUGGACAAUGGGCGAAAGCCUGAUCCAGCCAUGCCGCGUGAGUGAAGAAGGCCUUCGGGUUGUAAAGCUCUUUUAGUCGGAAAGAAAGAGUUGCAAUGAAUAAUUGUGAUUUAUGACGGUACCGACAGAAAAAGCACCGGCUAACUACGUGCCAGCAGCCGCGGUAAUACGUAGGGUGCGAGCGUUAAUCGGAAUUACUGGGCGUAAAGGGUGCGCAGGCGGUCUUGCAAGUCAGAUGUGAAAGCCCUGGGCUUAACCUGGGAAUUGCGUUUGAAACUACAAGGCUAGAGUGCAGCAGAGGGGAGUGGAAUUCCAUGUGUAGCAGUGAAAUGCGUAGAGAUGUGGAAGAACACCGAUGGCGAAGGCAGCUCCCUGGGGUGACACUGACGCUCAUGCACGAAAGCGUGGGGAGCAAACA
rnacentral:rRNA from 1 species